GAUGAACGCUGGCGGCGUGCUUAACACAUGCAAGUCGAACGAAGCACUUUAUUAUGAUUUCUUCGGAAUGACGAUUUAGUGACUGAGUGGCGGACGGGUGAGUAACGCGUGGGUAACCUGCCUUAUACAGGGGGAUAACAGUUAGAAAUGACUGCUAAUACCGCAUAAGCGCACAGGAUUGCAUGAUCUAGUGUGAAAAACUCCGGUGGUAUAAGAUGGACCCGCGUCUGAUUAGCUGGUUGGUGAGGUAACGGCCCACCAAGGCGACGAUCAGUAGCCGACCUGAGAGGGUGACCGGCCACAUUGGGACUGAGACACGGGCCCAAACUCCUACGGGAGCAGCAGUGGGGAAUAUUGCACAAUGGGGGAAACCCUGAUGCAGCGACGCCGCGUGAGUGAUGAAGUAUUUCGGUAUGUAAAGCUCUAUCAGCAGGGAAGAUAAUGACGGUACCUGACUAAGAAGCACCGGCUAAAUACGU
rnacentral:rRNA from 1 species